CUGGAGGUAUCAGAAGUGCGAAUGCUGACAUAAGUAACGAUAAAGCGGGUGAAAAGCCCGCUCGCCGGAAGACCAAGGGUUCCUGUCCAACGUUAAUCGGGGCAGGGUGAGUCGACCCCUAAGGCGAGGCCGAAAGGCGUAGUCGAUGGGAAACGGGUUAAUAUUCCCGUACUUGGUGUUACUGCGAAGGGGGGACGGAGAAGGCUAUGUUGGCCGGGCGACGGUUGUCCCGGUUUAAGCGUGUAGGUGUGUGUUCCAGGUAAAUCCGGUUCACUUUAACACUGAGGCGUGAUGACGAGGCACUACGGUGCUGAAGCAACAAAUGCCCUGCUUCCAGGAAAAGCCUCUAAGCAUCAGGUAACAUCAAAUCGUACCCCAAACCGACACAGGUGGUCAGGUAGAGAAUACCAAGGCGCUUGAGAGAACUCGGGUGAAGGAACUAGGCAAAAUGGUGCCGUAACUUCGGGAGAAGGCACGCUGACACGUAGGUGAAGUGAUUUACUCAUGGAGC
rnacentral:rRNA from 1 species